rnacentral:rRNA from 1 species
UCCAACCUACGGGACGCAGCAGUGAGGGAUAUUGGUCAAUGGGGAAACCCUGAACCAGCAACGCCGCGUGAGGGAAGACGGUUUUCGGAUUGUAAACCUCUGUCCUCUGUGAAGAUAAUGACGGUACCUGACUAAGAAGCCCCGGCUAACUACGUGCCAGCAGCCGCGGUAAUACGUAGGGGGCAAGCGUUAUCCGGAUUUACUGGGUAUAAAGGGAGCGUAGGUGGCAGGGCAAGUCAGAUGUGAAAACCCGGGGCUCAACUCCGGGAGUGCAUUUGAAACUGUCCAGCUAGAGUGCAGGAGAG